GCCGGGGGGCGCCAUGGCCGGGCCGGGACCCGCGCGCCGCCGGCCCGCGCCGCAACUUGGGCAAACUUUGGGGCGGCCCCGCCCCCUUUUAAAGGGGCCGCAACGCCGCCGCGGGGCGCGGGCGGGGUCGGGCCGGGGCAGCUGCCGGGCGCUCCGACCCCGGGACAACCGGGACACCGCUUCCUUCUGGCCUCGGGCAGGCUCACGGCCACCUGCACAUCUGCGUGGGCUCACCCGCAGCCCGGGGAGCCGGUUCUGUUUCGUGGAAGCGCAGUGCUUUGCAACCAUGUGCUGCAACGCUUUCUAUGAACUUUAAGCUUUCCUGUUUCAGCGUUCCCAAGCGUGAAAAUCAAAGCAGUCGCUUACUUUUAAAUCUUUUCACAGUCGUGGAUACGAAGAUGUUUAUCCACUGUAAGUGUAGAACAGGACCAGCCGUGACACUGAGUGGUUUUGCUGUUCUGGACCCCUCCGAGGGUCCCUGCCGUGGGAUGCCGUCAUCUUUGCUUGUGCCAACCAGACAUGUCCCGGUGCCCUCCUUUGAGUGUUUGCCAGCAUCGAUACCCGACUCAACCUUUGAACCGACUGGGACACUUUGGACUUCCAGCAAAACUUAAUAGAAAGCUUUGAUGGACUCUAUGGUAUCCAAGUACCUCUGGUGUUACUCAAGACUUCAUGAAGAAAUUACAUUUUAAUAAUAAAGUUAAAAGGCAUCUGGAUAAGUAGAACAACAAAAAUCAACAACUGUUUUAAUCAUAGUUGACAAAUCUGUAGUUCUGUAUAGGAUUCAAUAAUCAUGUGGAUAAGAAUAAUCUGUUGAUAGCAGUGUACUUGUACUUUCAGGAAGCUUUUUACAAAGUCCUGCAGCAAGGAAAUGAAGCUGUUGUAGGAUGAGAUGGCUUGUCAUUUAAUAUCCUUUAAAGCAUGUAAGUAAGAGCCCAGACUUCACAGCAGAGGAAGAAAGUUUCUCAAUGCAGCCCAACAGAGAUGCAUGUUUUUGAACUUACAACAUUAGGCUAAGGAGAGAAUAACAAGGUGAUGGAGUUUGCUGAUGGUAAAUUAUGUAGAAAAGUAAAAUAUGCUGAAAAAAGUUAUAAAUUCAUUCAUAGUACAAAACAUAAGCAGCAAAUGAAAUUCAUUGUUGAUAAAUUCUGGAUAAAGACAAGUUUUCCUCCAUGUGCCUAUGUUUAUACAUGCACAGUGAUGAGCUUUAUGUGGGCUGUCCAGUAGAGAUAUAUGAAAGUGUCAGUCAAUAGACAUCAAAAAGGCAAAAUAAAUAUGAAUUAUUAGAAAAAAAUAGUUACACUAUACUGUAAAUUCUUCAAAUGAAUAUAGAUUGAACUGCUGGUCACACUGUCUCAAAAAAGAUGUAAUGUACUCAGAAAACGUACUGAGAAAAGCUUUCUAGGAAAGCAGAGAAAAUAAUAGAAUGUAGGUAAGCAGAAAACAGAUCAAACUAUUCACAUUUCUUGUUAUAAGAGAAGUAGGGGCUCCUAAUGAAAUUACUAUGAAGAUUUUUAUAAAAGCAAACAUUUUGUUACACAACAUAACUAAAUCACAGAAUUCAUUACCACAGGAUGUUGUAUAUGACAAAACUAUGAAUAGUUCAGAAAGUGAUUGGAAAAAUUCAUAGAAAGCCCUUCAAGACCCAAUAAGCAAAAGAAUGCAAAUGCAAACUGGUUUCUGGAAGUCCCUGUGCCACAGACUGCCUAAAGCUCAGAGGAAAUAUCAGCAAAAUGUUCUUUCAUACUUGACCUCUUCUAUAUUCUUUCCCUAAUUACCAGCUGCUGCUGGCUGCUGUGGAAAUAGGACACUAAACUGGACAUGAGUAAAACACCACCUCACCCUGCCCAGCCAGUCUGAUGCAAGGGCUUGCCAUGACACCACCCUGCAACCCUUCUCUGGAACCAGGAGAAGUUCUUGGCAAGUGUUUCCCUUGGGCCACUUGCAGUCUGGAGGGACUGACCUCUGCAGAUGGAGGAAGCUCAGAAGAUCAGUUCUGGGGACUCAAUUGCUAUGGAUGUUGAAGCAGAGAGAGAGAAAACAUAUUAUUUUGCUUUAAUUUUCCUCUCUUUUUAAAUCUCCUGAAGUCAGUACAAGAUGGUGUGUCUCUUCCACCUCAGUUGCCUUAUCCAGCAAACUAGAAAUCUCACCAAGUACCAGUGUUUAUAACUUAGUUUUAAGAGGAGUCAUGAACAUAAAGUGUUUCUGGAAAAGAAUCCAAAUAGACUUCAGAACAUUCUCAGAUAUCUAAAUCUUAAGGGCUCUGAAGUUGUACUCUACACAGGGAAACAAAUGUUUAAAAAAAAGAAAGCAUUGAAGGAAAACCAGGAGAUUUUGCCAAAUAGCCUGGGUGUAUUAUAUUAUAUUAUAGUGGCUGUGGACUGCCCUGAGAAGCCAGCUGUGAUCUUGGAAGGGCAGGGAAUGUAUCCUAUAGCAGGUUUAGACUUAGCACACAAAUAUCCCUCUGUGCUGGUGCAGCUGCACUGCCAAGCUUGCUGGCAGGCAGGGAGAGGAGCCUGCUCAUGCCCUGACUCCACAGAUGCUGCUUCGCACUCUGUAACACAAAUAGUUGGCACAGGAGUUUCAUAACACUGUUUUCAAUGUGCAUACAUAGGAUAAGCGAUUCUUUGGUUUUCAGAAAUUAAAGCUAAUCUUCAGAAUUCAAAGCCUUUAGGAAAAGAGAUUAUAUUUAAUGGUUUUUUUUAAUCCCAAAUAAUAUUUUUUACUGUCAUGCAAAAUUAUUGUCAGGACUGGAAAAUCUGUUACAAUUAAGAGAUUUAGUGCCUACAGAAGGAAGGGGUACUGAGAAAAGCUUGUAACCCAAUAUGCAUAUUUCAUUUAAAAAAAGGCAAGCUGGAAACAGUUUAUCAUCAAGUAUAAUGGUCUAUUCACAUAUGACCUACCAAACAGAAUGAUACUGUACCAAAAUAAAGCAGCAAUACUCAAGAUUUGUUUCCCAAAGUCUUAAAACAUGUCAGAGUCAUUCCUCUAAUAUGGUACAAAAUUCCUACUUGAAAAAGAUGCAAGAUUGAGCUAAAAUAAUUUUAAAACAUAUUCAGAGGGAUGGCUUUCUUCCUAUUGUUGCACAAGGCACUGGGAGCUGUUACUUUGCUUUCUUUAGCAAAGCACAGAGACUUGGAGUGUGACCAUAACUUUUUCCCUGAAAGUUCUGUUCCAUACCAAAAUGAAGAGGAACCUGAGGACUGUACCAUGGAGCUAUGAUCAUUUGUGAUUUAAACUUCCAAUGCUCAGGUGUUCUGACUGCCCAAGACUUUGAUAAAUUACCUAGGAACUAUAAUUUAUUUUCUACCAGUUUGAGUCAACUACUACCUGUAUCACCUGGUAGAAGAUACCUUUUACCUUACCUGUCUUGAUGCUCCUACAUUUCUCUCUUAUUACUGAUGGGGCAGUAUGGGAUAACACAGAGUGUGCUGGCUGCUCUUUUAGAGCAUCUUUCUCAUAGUUCAAUAACGCAAUCGGAGUAACAGCCCAGAAUUAGCUUUUCAUUCUACUGGAGACUACAGGAAUCAAAUACUGAAUUAUCAGAAAUAGUAUUUUAAUAAAUAAUAUCAUUAUUAUGACUGUCAAUACUUUUAGGAAAAGUGAAGGAAGGCAGACAAUUUGGAUUUGUUUGGCGUGGAGAUUGUACUCAGCUGAAUAAAAUAUGUAGAUAUAAAACAAGCCAGUGGACCAGACAAUUCAUCAUUUAAACAGAUUUCUGCAGACUGAAGUCAUAGCUUCCUGAUGCUGAAAUCCUUUUUGAUUAAAUGAUUUUGCUUCAAAGGUGAAUGUAGGCAUCACAGGUGUGAAUUAGUAGGUGCAUAAUAUCUACCCACCUACAAAUAUUUUUCAUUCUUCAUAUCCUCCAUGCUUCCCAUGUCCUCUGGAUCAAGAAUAUUCUACCUGAUUAUUCAAUUUUGUAUAUAAUUCUUUAUUUGACCAUUGUACUUUGUGCUUUUUAAAAGGAAUUUUAUUUUCUUGGUUUUUAUGAAACUCAGUAAGCCUUAAUAAAUAAAUAUACACCAUUUGUUUUCAUAUGAUGCUCAUUUUUAAGUUGCAUGAAAUGAGUAAUUUUUAAAUUAAAGCAUUCCCCUCUAAAAACAUUAUUUUAACCUCAGUAUCAUAAGAUUUCUAGGCUUUUUACUGUGUAAUUUGUAUUCAGCAUUCUCUGCAUAAGGACAUCAAACUAAACACCAUUUCUAGAAUUAAAUAUUUUAUUUUGAGCAA